rnacentral:rRNA from 1 species
GACAACGCUGGCGGCGUGCCUGACACAUGCAAGUCGGACGGUUCUUGCACCUUCAAGCUUGCUUGCUGGUGCAGGGAUAGUGGCGGACGGGUGAGUAACGCGUGAACAUCUACCCAUUGGAGGGGGACAACCCGUCGAAAGGCGGGCUAAUACCGCGUAAGCCGUGAGGUGAGAGGCUGCCUAUUGGUGGCCGCCGAUGGAUGGGUUCGCGUCCUAUCAGCUGGUUGGUGGGGUAACGGCCUACCAAGGCGAAGACGGGUAGCCGGUCUGAGAGGAUGGCCGGCCACACUGGAACUGAGACACGGUCCAGACUCCUACGGGAGGCAGCAGUGGGGAAUAUUGGGCAAUGGGGGUAACCCUGACCCAGCGACGCCGCGUGAGGGACGAAGGUUUUCGGAUCGUAAACCUCUGUUGUACGGGAAGAAGGAAUUGACGGUACCGUACGAGAAAGCCCCGGCAAACUACGUGCCAGCAGCCGCGUAAAACGUAGCGUG